rnacentral:rRNA from 1 species
GGACGAACGCUGGCGGCACGCUAACACAUGCAAGUCGAACGGAGUUUGGAGCUUGCUCCAAACUAGUGGCGGACGGGUGAGUAACACGUGAGCAACCUACCUCUGAGAGCGGAAUAGCUUCUGGAAACGGAUGGUAAUACCGCAUGACAUUGUGAAGCCGCAUGACUUUACAAUCAAAUGAAUUUCGCUCAGAGAUGGGCUCGCGCCUGAUUAGCUAGAUGGUGAGGUAACGGCCCACCAUGGCGACGAUCAGUAGCCGGACUGAGAGGUUGAACGGCCACAUUGGGACUGAGACACGGCCCAGACUCCUACGGGAGGCAGCAGUGGGGAAUAUUGCACAAUGGGCGAAAGCCUGAAUGCAGCGAUGCCGCGUGGAGGAAGAAGGUUUUCGGAUUGUAAACUCCUUUUUCAGGGACGAUAAUGACGGUACCUGAAGAAGAAGCUCCGGCUAACUACGUGCCAGCCGCAGC